AAUGGGCUUGCUCAUUGGGAAAGUGGCGCACGGGUGCGUAACGCGUAUGCAACCUACCUUAAUCAGGGGGAUAGCCCGAAGAAAUUCGGAUUAACACCGCAUAAAAACACAGGAUAGCAUUAUCCAAUGUUCAAAUAUUUAUAGGAUUAAGAUGGGCAUGCGUGUCAUUAGCUAGUUGGCGGGGUAACGGCCCACCAAGGCGACGAUGACUAGGGGAUCUGAGAGGAUGACCCCCCACACUGGUACUGAGACACGGACCAGACUCCUACGGGAGGCAGCAGUAAGGAAUAUUGGUCAAUGGAGGCAACUCUGAACCAGCCAUGCCGCGUGCAGGAAGACAGCCCUCUGGGUCGUAAACUGCUUUUAUUCGGGAAUAAACCACAUUACGUGUAGUGUGCUGAAUGUACCGAAGGAAUAAGGAUCGGCUAACUCCGUGCCAGCAGCCGCGGUAAUACGGAGGAUCCAAGCGUUAUCCGGAUUUAUUGGGUUUAAAGGGUGCGUAGGCGGCUUAUUAAGUCAGGGGUGAAAGACGGUGGCUCAACCAUCGCAGUGCCCUUGAUACUGAUGAGCUUGAAUACACUAGAGGUAGGCGGAAUGUGACAAGUAGCGGUGAAAUGCAUAGAUAUGUCACAGAACACCGAUUGCGAAGGCAGCUUACUAUGGUGUGAUUGACGCUGAGGCACGAAAGCGUGGGGAUCAAACAGGAUUAGAUACCCUGGUAGUCCACGCCCUAAACGAUGAAUACUCGCUGUUAGCGAUACACAGUUAGCGGCUAAGCGAAAGCGUUAAGUAUUCCACCUGGGGAGUACGCCCGCAAGGGUGAAACUCAAAGGAAUUGACGGGGGCCCGCACAAGCGGAGGAGCAUGUGGUUUAAUUCGAUGAUACGCGAGGAACCUUACCCGGGCUUGAAAGUUAGUGAAUCAUUUAGAGAUAGAUGAGUGAGCAAUCACACGAAACUAGGUGCUGCAUGGCUGUCGUCAGCUCGUGCCGUGAGG
rnacentral:rRNA from 1 species